rnacentral:rRNA from 1 species
GAUGAACGCUGGCUACAGGCUUAACACAUGCAAGUCGAGGGGAAACGACGGGGAAGCUUGCUUCCCCGGGCGUCGACCGGCGCACGGGUGAGUAACGCGUAUCCAACCUGCCUCUGACUGAGGGAUAACCCGUCGAAAGUCGGCCUAAUACCUCAUGGUAUCGUCUGCGGGCAUCCAACGACGAUUAAAGAUUUCAUCGGUCAGGGAUGGGGAUGCGUCUGAUUAGCUUGUUGGCGGGGUAACGGCCCACCAAGGCUACGAUCAGUAGGGGUUCUGAGAGGAAGGUCCCCCACAUUGGAACUGAGACACGGUCCAAACUCCUACGGGAGGCAGCAGUGAGGAAUAUUGGUCAAUGGGCGAGAGCCUGAACCAGCCAAGUAGCGUGCAGGAAGACGGCCCUAUGGGUUGUAAACUGCUUUUAUGCGGGGAGAAAGUGAGGGACGGGUCCCUCAUUGCAGGUACCGCAUGAAUAAGGACCGGCUAAUUCCGUG